AUUUUGCGCACGCGUAGAAUGGCAACAUUUCCAGAGGUUGAGACGAGAGUAACUGGCUGCGAAUAUGAUUUACAUUAGAAAAUAAAAAGCUUUAUGCUUUUAAUUUGUGUGAUAAUAUUGGUCAUAGUACAAACCAAAACGCCGUAUUACUCGAGGAGAGAACUUUACUCUUGUUAGUGCGUCAUGCUUUUCAAAGAUGGGCCGCCGAUAGACAUUGGAUUGAGGAGAAAAGUUUUAGAACACCACAACUGGAACUCAAACUAACCUCGGAGAUGAAUUUAGGUGUUCCAGCAAACGCACUGUUGUUGUUUCGUGCUUGUGAUGAAGGAGACUACGAAACUGCUCGAGGGAUUCUUGAUCCCGGGGCGAAAGAUUCCGGGAGGCAAAGUAGACUGCGGUCAGAAGCGGGAUCGGAAUGCAAUGUUGUGGACAUCUCACGGGGACUUUCGCUAGUGCCAGUGGAUUGCACAGAUGAAGAGGGCAACACCGCGUUGCAGUUUGCCUCGGCGAGUGGACAUGAGAAUCUGGUCCGAUUUCUACUGCGAAAGGGGGCUUCGGUGGACAGCCGUAACAACUAUGGCUGGACGCCUCUCAUGCAGGCUACAAGGUUUGGCCAUCUAAAUGUGGCCCACAUCCUGCUGGAGAACGGGGCGGAGAUGAACGGCAGGAACCGGAUGGGAGCCAGCGUGUUGACUAUGGCGGCCAGAGGGGGCCACACCCAUGUGGCCAAGCUUCUCCUGGAGAGCGGCGCCUACGUCGACGACUAUGACCACCUGGCGCUCGCUGAGGGUGUCACCAACAGCAACAACAGCGUCGGAGACGAGGGUGGAAGGGAGUUCAUGGAUAUCACGGCGCUCCUUGCUGCCUCACAGCAUGGCCACGAGGCAUCCGUUCGCCUGCUCCUGGAGUGGGGGGCGGAGGUGAACUUUUCCCAGAAGACCACGGGCUGGGGUGCCCUCAUGCUGGCCACGCUGAGCGGGAAGGUGGUCGUGGCCCAGCAGCUGGUGGAGCGGGGUGCGGACCCGGAUCAGGUCAACGUGCUGGCCAAGACUGCCUUCGAGCUAUCGCUGCAGCUCAAUCAGAGGGAUGUCAAGGCCUACCUGGACUCCAUUACCACCGUGCGCCCACAGCCAGAUGACGAGAAGAGGAGACCAGAUGUUUUCAGUGCCUUGAAGUUAGGAAACUCCCAGCUGGUGAAGGAGAUCUUGGAGGAAGAUCCAUCCCAGGUGAACAUGGCCAACCCGGACGGGGCGUCUCCCCUGAUGAUAGCAGCCGUCAGUGGGCAGCUGGAGGUGGUGCAGCUCCUGCUGGAGAAGAGCGCCGACGUGGACAAACAAGAUGGAGUACACGGCUGGACGGCCCUCAUGCAGGCCACGUACCAUGGGAAUAAAGAUGUGGUGAAGUAUCUGCUUAGUCAGGGUGCAGAUGUCAACCUGCGAGCCAAGAAUGGCUACACUGCUUUUGACCUGGUCAUGCUGCUGAAUGACCCAGACACUGAGCUGGUGAGGUUGUUGGCGUCCGUCUGCAUGCAGGUGGACAAAGACAAAGGAAAACACAGGGGCAGGACUCCCCUCACUGGCUCCAAGAGCAGGCAGUCUCUCAAUAAUGUCCCCGUACCACCCGAUGACAGAGGAGGAUUAAAGUCAUGGUGGAACAGGAUGUCUAACAGGUUCAGGAGGCUUAAGCUGACCCACACUCUAAGACACGGGCUAUCCUCCAACCGCCUGGCCCCCUUCCCUGAUGAACCCGAGGCGCCUCUGGACGCCACCAUGAAGGCUGAGAGGAAGAGUGCCACCCCGUGCGGGGCGGUGUCGCCCCCUGCAGCCAUGGGGAGUACUGACAGCAGCACGGCCUGGACAGCCAAGAGCAAAGACAGUGGUCUUGGCAGAACGGGCACAGAGAAGGAUGACUUUCUAAUAACCACAAUGCUGAGAAAUGGGGCGCCGCUGACCCGUCUGCCCAACGACAAGCUGAAGGCAGUGAUCCCACCCUUUCUGCCCCCGUCGAACUUUGAGCCGUGGAACUCAGACCGCUCCAGGGUCAUCAAAGAGGGCAAGAGCGAAGCCUCACGGCUGCCCAUGCCACAGAGACCAGGCAAAGCCAACUUCAACAGCAGCGGCAACUCUGACAUUACCUCUAUCAGUCGUGUAGUGAGCAGGUCCAUUAAGUUCCCCAGCCUCACCAAGGGCCCCUCAUCCACCUCCCCCUCCAACUCAGGCAACUACCACUCCCCCCACUCCUCAGGUGGCUCCAACGGGGUGGCAGGGCUCAACCGCCACGGGCCAGACUCACACAACCGCUCAGGGGGCAGUUCAGACAGCGUCCUGUCACAAAUUGCUGCCCAGAGGAAGAGAGCUGCAGGCCUGUUAGAUCCAAAGGCCCAGGCAGCAGAGGUGCCAAACCCCACCCCUGUGCCUGCUCCUGCCCCCACCGUGCCUGACAUCAGUCUCCCAGACAUCCACAGCACCCCCAGCCUGGUGUCCAGCGACGUCCACUCCAGACGGAAAGCUGACCUAAAGAAGAGACCCCAGUCUGGGAACUCCUCUACCUCUAAGAGCACCUCUCCCACCCUGACCCCGUCUCCAUCCCCCACCCCCAAACCUCCCCCAGGGGACUCCCUGUCCUCUGCGUCCUCCCACCCGCGCUCCAAGAGCAGCGGCGGCUCCAGCAGUGGCACCAUCACCGACGAGGAUGAGCUGUCCAGUAUCCUGAAGAAACUUUCGUUGGAGAAAUACCAGCCCAUAUUCGAAGAGCAAGAGGUGGAUAUGGAGGCUUUCCUUACUCUAACAGAUGGAGAUUUAAAGGAACUGGGGAUUAAGACAGACGGGCCUAGACAACAAAUACUGGCAGCUAUUUCUGAACUCAAUGCUGGGAAGGGGAGAGAGAGGCAGAUUUUGCAGGAGACCAUCCACAACUUCCAGUCCUCCUUUGGCAGCAGUGCCAGCAACCCCAGACCGCCAGGACAGCCACGCUAAAGUAGGCUACUGAGACAGUGAUGUGGCGCUCAGUGGUGAGGCUGAGGCAGGCUGCAAUGCAUGCAGGAGGAAGGAGAGAAGACGUAGAGAGAGGGGAAGCAAGCAGAGAGGCCUACAACCAGCAACAUGCCACCCUGCAUCCCACUGCUGGCUUGUAUCUGAAUCGUAAGCAGGGUUGGUCCUGGAUGGAAGACCACAUGCUGCUGGAAGUGGUUGGAGGGCCACUCCUACAGGCUGGGUGCGACACCAGGUGCGCACCUCCAACAAGAGGUAACAACACCACGCUGCGACUGAGGACCAACCGUAUAGGAGGUCAGAGAUGACCCUAUAGCCCAGGUGUGAGGAGACUCUACUGGACGCCAGCGUUCCAGAGCACUGCUGCGUGUGAGAGGACGCUGCAGCACAGACCCCCGAAAGGGAUCCCCAUGGGCUGGCGACCCCAUGCCCAGCGCCCUGCUGCUUACCGACAGAGCACAACGUGAUGUGCGGCCAUCAUUUAUUGCCAUGGCAACAGGGCUAUCACGCCAACUGCUGACCUAUAGGGGAGAUACAGUAGAGGAAGUGGGCGCGUACUAAGAGAGAACAGACCUACUUAUGUCUUAAUGGAUGUGGGAGAUGAAAGCCUUUAAACUGAGAUCAAGACUUUUGGGCACUGAUGAUGUACUAUCUGAGAAGAGAACUUCAGGGACGGUUUCACAGACACAGAUUAAGCCUAGUCCUGAACUAAAAAGUACAUCAAGAGAAUCUCCAUUAAACAUGCUUCUGAGUCCAGGACUAGUCUUAAUCUGUGUCUGGGAAAUUGGCCCGUAAUGUCUUAAUGUAUUUGGGAGAUUGUCACAUGUUGAUGAUGUAAGAGGUUGGAGGAAUUCUGGUUUGCCAGAAUGAUGAGGGAAGAUUGUUUUUAUUUGUAAAAAAAAAAAAAAAAAAGUUUCCUUCUGCCUUUCUCUUUUUUUCUUCUUUACUAUUUCACUACUGUUAGUUUUAUAAUAUGUUUUCUUGUACAAGGAUUCAUGAUUUAUGUGUGAACAAAGUAAGUCAGUUUUAAUCUGAUGAUGAAUGUGAAUGGCUGAACUGUCAUUAUUAAAACCCAUAAAAAGAUG